UUGCAAUGGCGUCUGUCAACUUACUUACCGAAAGAUUUUUACGAUAAAUGUGAAGCCCAAAAAUGGCAAGAAAGGAAAGAGUCAGUGGACGUGGUAAAACAAUUAGUAGCAAAUCCAAAGCUUCAAAAUGGAGACUAAGAAGAUUUAGUCAGGGCCUUGAAAAAGAUCAUCGCCAAAGACUCAAAUGUAAUGGUUAUUGCCGUUGCCGGCAAAUGCAUGACCGGUCUGGCUAACGGAUUGAAAAAGAAAUUUUCAUCCUAUGCUUUAGCCUGCCUACCAACAAUUUUAGAAAAGUUCAAGGAGAAGAAACAGAACGUUGUAACUGCUAUGCGUGAGGCAAUCGAUGCAAUCUAUCCCAGUACGAUGAUUGAAGCUAUUCAAGAAGAUGUCUUUGCUG